GCUAGUGAGCAUGACACUUGUUUUUUUUAUAUCUCAGGAGCCUACACGGAGAAAACAAAGUUUUUUUAUACUCAAAAAUAAGUACAGGCAGUCGAACUGAGGAAAUGGGUGAUUUUAAUUCUGCCAAAUAGGUAAAUUUAACCCAAACUUUGAGUUGUUUAACGGAAACUCAAAUUUGAGUAAAAAAAUACUUCUAAUUUAUUGCGCCGUACAUGUGUUUUAUUUGAAAUGACGUACUUUAUUAAAAAUAUUUUGUUUAACAAUAUGCAGAUACUCAGCGUGUUUGAAAUCGCCCCAAAAUAGCAGCCCAACUGAUUAAACACACAAAUAUGUAUGCAAAACAAUAAGCAAUUUGCCAAACACUUAAAAAACGCAAAGUUGAGUAGAAAUAACUCAACGUGUGACAUUUGAAUUGCGUACUAGCCGUUGAGUAGUUUAAACUCAAUUUUGGAUGAAAAAAUUCGCCAGCCAUUUUGAAAUGUCAACGCUGAUCAUUUCAAAACAGUCACCGCCAUAGUAAGACGUCUUAGUGCACAAAAUCAUAAUUUUCGUUAAAUAAAAUCCUCAAAUUAUUGAAAUUAUGUUUGAGAUACAUUAUUAGUGCUAAAUUACUGUUCCUGGCAUCGUUUUAUAAAAGCUCCCGCAUCUGGUCAGCAAAUAUUCCGGUUUUGCUAAGGGAGUUCAUUUGUCUUGGAUCAACUAUUCUCGGAGUGAAGAAGUGAUUGUUCCCGGUUACUAACAUCCCGUUUCAACUUCUGUUCGCCGUUCCUGCACCGGUCAUGCACGAUUUCCGGAACCGAGAAGCUGGUUACUGUUUCCAUCUGUUGUUGCGUUCCCGGAGAACGAUUGCAGGAACCGACACGCAGAUUGAUUGAAAUGUGACUUCGAAGUGAUUUAAUUGAACAAAAUGAAAU